AACUAACGCUGGCGGCGUGCCUAACACAUGCAAGUCGUACGAGAAAGCCGGCUUCGGCUGGUGAGUAAAGUGGCGCACGGGUGAGUAACGCGUGGAUAAUCUGCCCUUAAGUGUGGAAUAACGUACCGAAAGGUGCGCUAAUACCGCAUAAUGCCUGGCAACACAAGUUGUCCGGCCAAAGAAGGCCUCUGUUUACAAGCUUUCGCUUCAGGAUGAGUCCGCGUACCAUUAGCUUGUUGGUGGGGUAAUGGCCUACCAAGGCUGCGAUGGUUAGCUGGUCUGAGAGGAUGAUCAGCCACACUGGAACUGAGACACGGUCCAGACUCCUACGGGAGGCAGCAGUGAGGAAUAUUGCGCAAUGGGGGCAACCCUGACGCAGCAACGCCGCGUGAGUGAGGAAGGUUUUCGGACUGUAAAGCUCUGUCGAGCGGGAAGAAGUGUACCAUGGCUAAUAUCCAUGAUAUUGACGGUACCG
rnacentral:rRNA from 1 species